rnacentral:rRNA from 1 species
AGUGAACGCUGGCGGUAGGCCUAACACAUGCAAGUCGAACGGCAGCACAGUAAGAGCUUGCUCUUACGGGUGGCGAGUGGCGGACGGGUGAGGAAUACAUCGGAAUCUACUUUUUCGUGGGGGAUAACGUAGGGAAACUUACGCUAAUACCGCAUACGACCUACGGGUGAAAGCAGGGGAUCUUCGGACCUUGCGCGAUUGAAUGAGCCGAUGUCGGAUUAGCUAGUUGGCGGGGUAAAGGCCCACCAAGGCGAAGAUCCGUAGCUGGUCUGAGAGGAUGAUCAGCCACACUGGAACUGAGGCACGGUCCAGACUCCUACGGGAGGCAGCAGUGGGGAAUAUUGGACAAUGGGCGCAAGCCUGAUCCAGCCAUACCGCGUGGGUGAAGAAGGCCUUCAGGUUGUAAAGCCCUUUUGUUGGGAAAGAAAAGCAGCAGGUUAAUACCCCGCUGUUCUGACGGUACCCAAAGAAUAAGCACCGGCUAACUUCGUG